rnacentral:lncRNA from 1 species
ACUCGCUCUUUGUUUUGCUCACUCCAGCUCUUUCUUUUCCCCCUUGGCUCUGAUAGUUGCCAUUCCCAUCGUUCACAAGAACUCCUGAAGCGUAGCCGCGCAACAGGAAUGGCACGCCUCGUUCCCUUCUCCCUCCUCCCCCGAAUCCUUGCACCCCAACGCUCGCGGGGGUGGUGGGAGACUCGCUCAGCGCCAGCGGCAGCUGCGAGCAAACCCCAAUCUCUCACCCCCGCGCUGCUCGCCGCUUUGUUCGGAGAUACUCACUGCCCCGCAGCUGCUGCAUACAAAGUGGAGUCAAGGGACCUCCCCUGCCCCCAACGCCCUCUACUCAGCACUUUGCUUGCAGUUAGGAGCUCGUCCUCUACCCCACCACAAGGCUGCCCCGGUGUCCCUAGCCUUUGGAGAGUUGGACCAGUCUGCAGGGGCUGUUCCCGGAGCGACUGGCCGAGAUUUCUCGCUGCUCCUUCUCUGCUCAAAACCUUAACCCUGGACUGGACAGCCCUGUUUUUCCCCAGCGUCUGGUGGUGGCUCUGGGCUUUUGCAAGUUACAGUGGGUCUUUUGAUCUUAAGCGUCACCUUCCCAGUAAACGGAACAAAAAGUUACAGACAGCAGC